rnacentral:rRNA from 1 species
CAGCCAUGCCGCGUGUGUGAAGAAGGCCUUCGGGUUGUAAAGCACUUUCAGUGGUGAGGAAGGCCUGUUGGUUAAUAUCCAACAGGAUUGACGUUAGCCACAGAAGAAGCACCGGCUAACUCCGUGCCAGCAGCCGCGGUAAUAA